rnacentral:lncRNA from 1 species
AAGCCCUGAGUUCAAUCUCCGUUUCUGCAAAAAGGAAGAAAAAUCAGUCAUGGAGCUCAUUUGAAAACCCUCAAGAGCAGGACAACUAUAAUUACAGGGUAAUCUAUAAAUCUGAAUCUAGCCGAGAACUUGGUAGGAAGUUUGAUGCUGCAACACAGACGGAGGACACAACAGGGAGAAGGAGGAGAAGCACAAACAUGAAACAAGUGGAGGAGAAAAAGACUGUAGAGACGAUCAGCUCAAACAGUUUGAACUAUGAAAAUGGAAACAGAGAAUAUCAAAGUGCUGAUAAUGGAAAAAUGAAGGCUUCUCAAGUUUUUAUGAAGUUGAUUACUUGUGGAUCAUCUUUCACUAUUAGUAGACACAUAUAACAAUGAUACUUGAAAUAAUAUAUAGAGUUGCCUCCUACAAAUGCAUGUCCUCAACUUAAUACCAAAAUCAUUAUCUUCUAGUCUUAUGUAUGACUUUAACAUUGAGUUUGUCUUAAAGAGUUUCCUACCACUACUGAUGGUCCCUGUGUUGCUUCAAUGUUCUCCAAGGCAAUGGUUUAAUUUCAUAAGUUCUGCAUUCAUGAUAGAAUGUUGUCUGCUAGUUACCAUCACAUUGCUUUGACUGGAACAUCUGUUGACCUUAAUAAUGACGAUUAUCUGCUUACUUUUGACGUCCACUAUGAACAUAUAUACUUCAACAGGAUUUACUAUGUUUUGUUUCGUGUUUCUUCAACAUGGCUUCCUAUACAUAUCAUUGCUUGAAAUUAAUUUGUUUGUUUGAUAGGUAACCAAACUUUGAAUGGUUUUUUUUCCCCGAUAUAGCAAAAUUACUUCCUUAUGUUGUAAUCAUAUAUUUCUGCAGAACUAGUCUACCAUGCUAGUCCCUUGUGCACCUCAUCAUGUGGAUGCAAUAGAUUUUUUUUGUUGAACAAUUGCAUAGUACGCUGCUAUCAAGAGCACAUUAUUGACAUUUGAUCCAAAAGAAUGAUCUUCCCCUUCAAUAAGAAGUUGCAGUCCAUUUUACUGGAAUCAAGUUCUCUUAACCAGGAAAAUGAUGAAGACCACAGAUUAAGUAUUCCCCGCGGACUUGUAAGACCUUUCAUUGUAACCACACUUUGAUAAUCAAUAAACUACAAUGCCUCCCUCUCAAUUGUUGUAUCUCAUCUCUCCCUCUCUUAUUCUUUCCUAAUUCUACCCCCUCUUCCUCCUCCCUCUUUUACAAUUUUAAGUUCUCAUCAGUCUUCAUCAUAACUAGGCACCAGAAUUUGAUCCACUUAACUCUCCAAGAAGAGAAGGUACAAUAACAAAACAAUCUUGUAUCAUUAUCAUGAGAAUAAUGCUAUUCAUAGUCAGUGACUAUAGUAGUGAUUCUUACGUGACAGUUUGUCAUUUGAAACAUUAGCUUAUUAUUUAAGGCAACAGAAAACUAAUGUCUCAAAUAGCAAGCUGCUACAUAAAGAUGAAUACUGUAAUCGCUGACUAUGAAUAAUAUUAUUCAUAUCAUAAUUAGAAAGAUUACAUGUACAAAACAAUACCCUCUUUACCCAGGUGGCAUAUUUUCUGUAAUUCCCAAAACCAUAUAAUUUUUCCUGUUGUUGUGGCACUGAGAGACAAAACAUAUGACGAUGAGCAACAAUGGAGCACAAGCCGAGUGGAAUGAGUGAAUAAAAUUUCAGCCAGACCAUAUGCCAAGAUAAAUGGAAAAUGACUAGCUGCAUAGACAGGCCUUUUUCCAGGCUGAGGUUUAUAACAGAUUUCAUUCUUUUUCAGAUAGACUUCUAUUGAAAGAAGGCAAGAAGCAAAUAACGGCAAAACAAUACUUUGAUGGAAGGAAGAGAUCAGAACCCAUGUCUGGUAGAUGUAGAAAAUGGCGGUUCUCGCACAGAUUUAGGCAGCACGGGAAACGUACUGCAUAGAGUUGCAUCCACACAAGGGCCACACAAGGGCAUGCUCUUGCAUGUCAGCCAUUGGACUCAAAUCCCUAUAAGAGAGACAAAAUAAAGUUUCCAUGGGUAAAAGUCAUGAAUACAUGUCCAAAGCAAAAUCAUCAAGAAGAGAAAACCCUUUCCUCUUAGGUUGUUCGCCCUUACACGUGCAAUUUAGGAGAUACAACUUAUUCAUGGACGGCAGAAGUUGAAAUGCUGCUUUUCCAUGACACACAACUAUACACUUCCACCAGGUAAUUUUACUGCACGGCAUUAAAAGAUUUUUUUGGUGAGCGAAAUAAGAGAAUCUAUUUCAAAACUUUGCAAGUAAUCAAGCUAGACUCUUUUCAAACAUUUUGAGAAGUUUUGGUGUCUCACACAAGUUAUGUGUAAACUUGCCUAGAGCAUUGUUUUUUCUAGCACUCAAGGAAUGGCAAGAGGAUACAAUGAACUUCAAGUUAUGUAGCCAAACCACAUGAUCAUCAACACGACAACACAAUUACCUAGGGUAAAGGAAUUCAGUAUACCGGACUUUUACGGUUUGAAGUGAAUCUAAUCUUAAUCGAAAACACAAGUGGCCAAUGCAAGUAUUGCCAUUUUAUAAAGUAAGCAUGAAAUGAGCACCAAACCUUCGUCUUUUCACCUCUGUUAGAGAACAAUCCAUCAUUCCUCAAGUCCUGAAAUCAAGAAGAGUUCUUCCCUGUACUGGGCAUGCUUAUCCCUCUUUCAAAAAGGUCGAGGACCCCAGAAUAAGGGAAUCCUGCAAGAAGCCAUUAUUGAGUUUUAAAAAGUUUGUUCAAUUAACAUACAAGCUUCCCU